rnacentral:rRNA from 1 species
UCUGGUAUGAAAGGUUUGACGAAAUAUUAACUGUUUCAUAAAUAUUUAUAAUAGAAUUUUAUUUUUUAGUCAAAAAGCUAAAAUGUAUUUAAAAGACGAGAAGACCCUAUAAAUCUUUAUAUUUAGAUUAUUAUAAUUUUGUAGAAUUUUUUUAUUUUAAUAAUUAAUAAUAUUUUAUUGGGGUGAUAUUAAAAUUUAAUAAACUUUUAAUUUUAAUAAUCAUUAAUUAAUGAAUAAUUGAUCCGUUAUUAACGAUUAAAAAUUUAAGUUACCUUAGGGAUAACAGCGA